GAUGAACGCUGGCGGCGUGCUUAACACAUGCAAGUCGAGCGGAGGUACGCCAGCUUGCUGUCGUGGAUCAGUGGGGCGGGGGUGUGUAACACAUGAGCAUCCCGCCCCAGACUCUGGAAUAUGCGCUGGCAACGGCGUCUAUUACAGGAUACGAGACUGGCAACCAUGGGGAUCGUUUGGCAAGUUGUGCGGGUUUGGAUGGUCUGGCGGCUUACCAGCUUGUUGGGCAGGUAAUUGCUCACCAGGCCGACGACGGAUAGCCGGCCUGAGAGGUGGACCGGGGACACGGGGACUGAGGGACGGACCAGACGCGUACGUGAGGCAGCAGGGGGGAAUAUUGCACAGUGGGCGCAAGCCUGAGGCAGCGACGCUGCGUUAGUGAUGACGGCCUUCUGGUGGUAAACCUCUGUCAGCAGAGAAGAAGCGAUAGUGACGGUACCUGCAGAAGAAGCACCGGCUAACUACGUG
rnacentral:rRNA from 1 species